rnacentral:lncRNA from 1 species
CGGAGUGACGCGCCUUGUCGCCGCUCCUCCCCGAGCAGAGAAAGUUCCCCUUUUUGACUUUUAAUUCCCCUGAAGUAGCGGUAGUUUGACGCAGAGUCUUUUCAAACGAGACAGAAAGUUUUUACAUGAAAACACUCUGGUGACUUUUCUACAACUGGUAGAAAAGUCACGGCCAAGAAGCGUGCGGCAUCAUGAAGCUACUGCUGCGCUCCUGCAGCGUCUCUCUAUGGACUCUUCUUUUCUUCAGCGCUCUCCUCAAGGUCUCCGGAGCAGAAUGUAAUAGAGAAUGUGACAGCAAUGAAACAACAACAACAACAACAACAACAACAACAACAACAACAACAGCAC